AGGAUGAACGCUAGCUACAGGCUUAACACAUGCAAGUCGAGGGGCAGCAUGGUCUUAGCUUGCUAAGGCCGAUGGCGACCGGCGCACGGGUGAGUAACACGUAUCCAACCUGCCGUCUACUCUUGGACAGCCUUCUGAAAGGAAGAUUAAUACAAGAUGGCAUCAUGAGUCCGCAUGUUCACAUGAUUAAAGGUAUUCCGGUAGACGAUGGGGAUGCGUUCCAUUAGAUAGUAGGCGGGGUAACGGCCCACCUAGUCUUCGAUGGAUAGGGGUUCUGAGAGGAAGGUCCCCCACAUUGGAACUGAGACACGGUCCAAACUCCUACGGGAGGCAGCAGUGAGGAAUAUUGGUCAAUGGGCGAGAGCCUGAACCAGCCAAGUAGCGUGAAGGAUGACUGCCCUAUGGGUUGUAAACUUCUUUUAUAAAGGAAUAAAGUCGGGUAUGGAUACCCGUUUGCAUGUACUUUAUGAAUAAGGAUCGGCUAACUCCGUGCCAGCAGCCGCGGUAAUACGGAGGAUCCGAGCGUUAUCCGGAUUUAUUGGGUUUAAAGGGAGCGUAGAUGGAUGUUUAAGUCAGUUGUGAAAGUUUGCGGCUCAACCGUAAAAUUGCAGUUGAUACUGGAUAUCUUGAGUGCAGUUGAGGCAGGCGGAAUUCGUGGUGUAGCGGUGAAAUGCUUAGAUAUCACGAAGAACUCCCGAUUGCGAAGGCAGCCUGCUAAGCUGCAACUGACAUUGAGGCUCGAAAAGUGUGGGUAUCAAACAGGAUUAGAUACCCUGGUAGUCCACACGGUAAACGAUGAAUACUCGCUGUUUGCGAUAUACAGCAAGCGGCCAAGCGAAAGCGUUAAGUAUUCCACCUGGGGAGUACGCCGGCAACGGUGAAACUCAAAGGAAUUGACGGGGGCCCGCACAAGCGGAGGAACAUGUGGUUUAAUUCGAUGAUACGCGAGGAACCUUACCCGGGCUUAAAUUGCAGAUGAAUUACGGUGAAAGCCGUAAGCCGCAAGGCAUCUGUGAAGGUGCUGCAUGGUUGUCGUCAGCUCGUGCCGUGAGGUGUCGGCUUAAGUGCCAUAACGAGCGCAACCCUUGUUGUCAGUUACUAACAGGUUCCGCUGAGGACUCUGACAAGACUGCCAUCGUAAGAUGUGAGGAAGGUGGGGAUGGCGUCAAAUCAGCACGGCCCUUACGUCCGGGGCUACACACGUGUUACAAUGGGGGGUACAGAGGGCCGCUACCACGCGAGUGGAUGCCAAUCCCAAAAACCUCUCUCAGUUCGGACUGGAGUCUGCAACCCGACUCCACGAAGCUGGAUUCGCUAGUAAUCGCGCAUCAGCCACGGCGCGGUGAAUACGUUCCCGGGCCUUGUACACACCGCCCGUCAAGCCAUGGGAGCCGGGGGUACCUGAAGUGCGUAACCGCGAGGAGCGCCCUAGGGUAAAAC
rnacentral:rRNA from 1 species